rnacentral:lncRNA from 1 species
CCCCCUAACCUUGCCCUUCUGCCCUUUGUGGAUUCUCCUAUAUUGCUGUUCCCCAAUCCCACCCGCAAGGGGCGCGCGAGAUGAAACAGUUCUGUCCUGGGAUAUACCACUGAGGGGUAGCGGUAAGACCACCCACUCUGAAAGGUACCAUUGGGAGAGGGCCUGUGACAACAGAGACAGGGUCUCCUUACACCGCGUUGGCACGGACCGCAGUUCCCUGCAGCGGCACUCAUGGCGCCACUGAGUCCAUCCCCGUUUGCUCCUCUUCAUCUUCCCACUGCUUUCGAAUCCGAGUGGACACAGGGAGAAAUAUGAGUGGGCAAGUGGCAUCAGCAUUUGGACCUACAAAGCAAGAUUGCUCCCAGGACCAGCAACCCAGUGUUGAGCAACCUCAACAAGAGAAACCACCAGCUGAGAUUCAGGAUAUCACACCUAGACAGGAGGAAGUACAUGGAGAGGAUCCAGUGAAUCGUGAUGAAGAAGAGGAGAAGGAUCCCUUUGAAGGUAAAGUGUAUCUGUGCGUCAUGCCUUAA